GCCAUUGUGGCAUAGAGGUUUGAACAUUGAGACUACAACUCUUGAAGACCAGGGUUCGAAUCCCGGCAUGACC